rnacentral:pre_miRNA from 13 species
AUAUCGUGGCGCAGCCAAGGAUGACUUGCCGGCAAGCUCCUCACACGUAUUUUGUUUCGAGUUUCAUUGAUGGCAUUGCUAGAUAGAUAUAUAUGAUUUCGUAAUUCAAACUUUUGGGCCAUUGUCUGGUUGAAAUGAUCGGCAAGCUGUCCUUGGCUAUGUCUCUAUUUCA